rnacentral:rRNA from 2 species
AAACGACUCUCGGCAACGGAUAUCUCGGCUCUCGCAUCGAUGAAGAACGUAGCGAAAUGCGAUACUUGGUGUGAAUUGCAGAAUCCCGUGAACCAUCGAGUCUUUGAACGCAAGUUGCGCCCAAAGCCUUCGGGCCGAGGGCACGUCUGCCUGGG